CUUGAGGCACAGAGCCAGACCUGCAGAGAGGCUACCCGCUUCAAGCUGCAGCCACCAGAGCAAAGGGCUGAGUCAGCGGCCCCGGGGGUGGGAACAGCACCAGGCAGUCUCAGAUCUCUGGGAAGAAGGCCGGGAAGAUGGAUGAAAGAAAAGAUGGACGGUCAGGGAGAAGCAGGCGAAGGGCACAGUAGUGCAGAAGGCUGUGUGCCUAGCACUGUGCACCCCACUACACUCCGCACCGAACUAUACAGGGACAAGGCUGCUCAUCCGGCCCUAGCAAACCAGAGGCUGCCGGCUACUGACCUCAGACACGAGGGCGUCCAGGCACAUCAGGUAGACUUGAGACAUGAAGUCCAGCUCUGGAGUAACAGACAGACUAUGGCUCUGUCCCAUGUCUUCUUUCUAACUUCAUGACAUUGGCCAGAGCCUACAGAGAACUCCCUUUUAGAGAGUAGACAGAACUCAGACAUAACCAUAGCCUCACAGAUGGAGAAACCAAGCAGGCUCUGCAAGUGUUGACCGAGGGCGGCGGAGCGGCAGUUCCCAUGAGCAAAUAUUGACACAUUUCCUGAUCAUUAAAGCAGAAAGUCCGACUGAAAGAGGACAUUCUGUCCCUUCUCUGUAAAGCUUUGAAGCCUCCUGCUUCCACCCCAGGUCUUAGUCUCCUCACCUGAAACAGGAUGGUAACAAAGGAUGUGGCCGGGAUCCCAGGUCUCUGGGUCCCUAUGGGGCAUGAGGUGUGGCUGGGCACUCCUUGGAAUGAGUGAGAAUGGGAAGCUGUCUGUAUGUGUGUACAUACUCCAGAUUCACCCACACUGUACAGUGCCCUGAAGUGCCUGUCCAGGGCUGCAGGGCUUGGGACCUUAGGCCUCCAGGAAGCAACUGAGGCCAUGUGGUCUGACUGUAUAUACUUCCAGGGGCAUUGAAGGAGCUGACACUGGUAAUCUCAGAGCACCCAACCCCCCAGCAUCACCCUAUCCACCUAGGAGGAGGCUGAGGCAGGAGGAUGGCCCUAAACCAGAGCUGGGAAAAUAAUGUUCUUAGUCAUCUUUCUUGUUCUUAGUUGUCUUUCUGGUCCUGAUAUUGGGCAACGACUGUAACAGCCCAGAUUACCCCAGGAGGUCUUACACGUCUGUCCUGUAGACACUUCUAAAAAUGCUUAAGCAGCACCUGUGGGCAGCAAACGUUGGCUCACUUACAACCUGAGCACUUCCUUGACCCAGUGAGGAAGAAGCCAAGGCAGGGAGAGGUUGAUCUAUGGACUCAAAGUCAGGAGGUUAGUAAACGGAUGGGUUGGGACUAAACCAUAAGGAGUCUGAGUCUAUAGUGUCUACAGAGUGACAUUCUGCCGUCCCUUCCUUGGCUCCUAGAGAAGCCAUCUGGCCUCUGGGUUCAGCCUUUGGCAGCUAAUGGCACCCAUUCACCAUGUGUUGCAUGACGGAUGAGCAGGUUGGUCGGUCAGAUCUCGGGAACCGAGCCGGAGGAGCCACUAACACCCUAUGGCAUGUAGGCAGUGGUCUUAGUGAGAGACACAGCCAGAGCUUCAGAAACAAAGAUUAUUGUGUCGCCAGGAGCAGUGGUUCAUGCCGGGGGUGGGGGGUUGGGGGUGGGGGAGUGGCACUUGGGAGGCCAGUCUACAGAGUAAGACUCUGCCAUGAAAGAGAAAACAAGGGCUGGAGAGAUGACUUAGUUGGGAAAGUGCCUGCUUGCCUUGCAAGAGUGAGGCCCUGAGUUCGGAUGCCCAGUAGCCUACAUUAAAAAGCAGCUCAUGGUCACCUGUAUCUCUAGUCUGGCAUUGGGCUUAGUGAGAGAUCCUGUCUGAAAGAUAAACUGAGAGAGAUUGGGGAAGACACCCAACACAGGCCUGCAUAUAUGCAUGCCUUAGCACACACAUACACACACACAUGCACACACACACCACACACACUGACACACACACACUGAUACACACAUGGAUGGACACAAGCCACACAUACAGACACACAUACCACACAGAGAGACAUAGACAUACACACAUUGACACACACAUACCACACACACUGACACACACACUGAUACACAAAUACCCACUACACACAGACACACACCCAAGCACGCACGUGAAUUUAUUGUGACCAUGCUGGAGUCCAAACUCCAGGAGCAAGGCAUCUCCCUUGUAGCUUUUCUGAGCACCAUGGGUCUGUUUUAAGGCUCCCUCUGUCAUUUGGAAGGUUACCAGCACCCUCAGCAUCCCUGGGCUUGGAGGAAGAAUCAUCAGCUUGGUCUUUGUUGGGGGGAGGGGAAUACUGGGUUUUUAAGGCAGGGUCUCACUACAUAGUACAAACUGGCCUUGAGUACAGGUAGUCCUGGAAUCACAGGUGUGUGCCACCCCACCACCUUGUCCUUACCUCUAUGUUGCUCUUGUUUGUAUCUGUCCAAAUCUCUUUUCCUGGGGACACACACUGUAGUGAGUCUACCCUAUAUGAAUGUGGACUUCCUUCCCUACUUAUAUCUGCAAUGACCUUGUUUCCAAAAGAAAGAGAAACAGGUUAAGAUUUCAAUACAGGAACUGGGGGGAACGCAAUCCAGCCCCUCACAGGCGCUAACUCUCCAGGGCACCGUGACUUUACAGCCUGUGCCUCAGCAUGGGACUUUAGCCUCCCAUGACCUUCCUGGCUGCAGUGUCUUAACUGUAGAGUGUCAGCACACACCAACCCUGGCACACUCAGGCACCAGCACCUGCCUCUGUGCACACCCACUACGUUCUCCCAGUACAGGUAUAUACUCACCUUUCGCACUGUGUCCAAAAAGGAGCAAUGCACAAGGGGCUGACCUGGGAACGUCCAGAUGCAGGAGCCAUGCCCUGACCUACCCAAUCACUUUGUCUCUAGGACAACCCAGUAUGAGGGAGGGUGCUAUCACACAGCUAGGCCUCAGAAAAGUCUCUGCUAGCUAAGUGAACUAUGCCCAGAGAAGUAAAAAAUGUCACACAGCAGAUUCACAGUAAAAUGGAGUCUAAGGCCUGAGACACCUAACUUUGGGUCUCAUUUU
rnacentral:lncRNA from 1 species